AUUAUUAAAAUAUAAAAUAAGUUUUUGGCUUAGUAGUAAAUAUAUUUAUGAAAGUAAAAUAAUUUGGCGGUAUUUUAGUCUAUUCAGAGGAAUUUGUUUUAUAAUCGAUAGUCCUCGUUAUACCUUGCUUAACUUAAUUAAUUUGUAUAUCGUUGUCAUUAGAAUAUUUUAUAAGAAAAAUAAUUUUCUGAAAUUAUGUAAAAUUUUAUGUCAAAUCAAGGUGCAGUGUAUAUUUAAGUAAAAAUGAAUUACAUUAAUAUUUAAUUAAAUGGAUUAAAAAGUGAAAAAUUUUUAUGAAGGUGGAUUUGAUAGUAAAAUUUAAUAUAGUAUAAAUUUGAUUAUAGCUCUAAAAUAUGUAC
rnacentral:rRNA from 1 species